rnacentral:rRNA from 1 species
UACGGGGGGAGCAAGCGUUGUUCGGAAUUACUGGGCGUAAAGCGUGCGCAGGCGGCUCCUUAAGUCAGAUGUGAAAGCCCCGGGCUUAACCUGGGAACUGCGUUUGAAACUGGGGAGCUAGAGUGUGGAAGAGGGGGGUGGAAUUCCAGGUGUAGCAGUGAAAUGCGUAGAGAUCUGGAGGAACACCGAUGGCGAAGGCAGCCCCCUGGGCUAACACUGACGCUCAUGCACGAAAGCGUGGGGAGCAAACAGG